AUGAACGCUAGCUACAGGCUUCACACCUGCAAGUCGCGGGGAAACGGCAUCGAAAGCUUGCUUUUGAUGGGCGUCGACCGGCGCACGGGUGAGUAACGCGUAUCCAACCUGCCCAUCACUUGGGAAUAACCUUGCGAAAGUAAGACUAAUGCCCAAUGACAUCCCACGAAGGCAUCCGAAUGGGAUUAAAGAUUUAUCGGUGAUGGAUGGGGAUGCGUCUGAUUAGCUUGUUGGCGGGGUGACGGCCCACCAAGGCAACGAUCAGUAGGGGUUCUGAGAGGAAGGUCCCCCACAUUGGAACUGAGACACGGUCCAAACUCCUACGGGAGGCAGCAGUGAGGAAGAUUGGUCAAUGGGCGAGAGCCUGAACCAGCCAAGUAGCGUGCAGGAGGACGGCCCUAUGGGUUGUAAACUGCUUUUAUAAGGGAAUAAAGUGGGUCACGUGUGACUUUUUGCAUGUACCUUAUGAAUAAGGACCGGCUAAUUCCGUG
rnacentral:rRNA from 1 species